rnacentral:rRNA from 1 species
ACACAUGCAAGUCGAGGGGCAUCGCGGGUGGCAACACCUGGCGGCGACCGGCGAAAGGGUGAGUAACGCGUGAGCAACAUGCCCUCGGGCGGGGGAUAGUGGGUGGAAACGCCCCGUAAUACCCCGUAACACAAGGGGAGGCAUCUUCCUUUGUUGAAAGAUUCAUCGCCCGGGGAUUGGUUCGCGUGCCAUUAGGUAGACGGCGGGGUAACGGCCCACCGUGCCGACGAUGGCUAGGGGUUCUGAGAGGAAGGUCCCCCACAUUGGAACUGAGACACGGUCCAGACUCCUACGGGAGGCAGCAGUGAGGAAUAUUGGUCAAUGGCCGAGAGGCUGAACCAGCCAUGCCGCGUGCGGGAGGACGGCCCUAUGGGUUGUAAACCGCUUUUUUGUGUGAGCAAUAAGGUCCACGUGUGGACUGAUGAGAGUAGCAUAAGAAUAAGCAUC